AUACUUACCUGGCAGGGGAGAUACCAUGAUCAAGAAUGUGGUUUACCCAGGGCGAGGUUUAGCUACUGCACUCUGGCUGUGUUGACCCCUACGAAUUUCCCAAAUGUGGCAAUCUCAACUGCAUCUGGUAGUGGCGGACUGCGUUCCUGCUCUCCUCAA